rnacentral:lncRNA from 1 species
UUUUGGUUUUUGUUAAGAAUUAAAAAAAGAAUAACAAUAUUAGGCCCCGUUUGGUUCGAGGAUAAAUCAAAAAUAACAAAACUUAUCCCCUCUAUUCCGCCAACGGGGUAUUUUUUGGCAAGGAUAUUUAAUUUCGGUCAAAUCUUGCUAUUUCCGGUUAUCCUAGAAUAGCUUGGGAUAAAUUAUUCCACCUUUUUUGGUGGAAUAGUAAUAUUCCAAGAUUUAAUUUCAAGUUUUUAUUGAAAUUAUAAUUGAAUUACAACUAAAUUAUAUAGAAAUUAUAUUUUAUUUAUUAUAACAAAUUAUUUUUAUUAUAAAUUAUUAUUUGUACUAUAUUAAUACAAAUUAUUUAUAAUUAAAUAUUAUAAUAAAUUAUUUUUAUUAAAUUUAAGUUUAAGGAGAAUUUGAAAACAAAUAAAAUUAUUUUUAUUAAAUCAUAAUUUAUAAUAAUUUUUUUUAAAUAUCAUUAUUAUUUUCAUAAUAAAAUAUUUAUAUAAUAUUAUUAUUUUUAUUAAAUUAUAUUUUAUGUUAAAUUCAACCAUUACAUUUUUUUCACUAUCCUCUGCUAUUGAAUAAAAUUAACAAAACAUAAUUUUAGUCAUUUUUAGGUAUAACAGCAUUAAAAUCAAACACAAAUUUACUUUUAUUCUUUAGUAUCCUGAAAUAGUAAGCUAUUCCAGGGCUAAAAUUUUUUUUCGU